rnacentral:misc_RNA from 1 species
GAUGAAGAACGUAGCGAAAUGCGAUAAGUAGUGUGAAUUGCAGAAUUCAGUGAAUCAUCGAAUCUUUGAACGCACAUUGCGCCCGCUAGUAUUCUGGCGGGCAUGCCUGUUCGAGCGUCAUUUCAACCAUCAAGCCCUUUAGCUUGUGUUGGGGACCUGCGGCUGCCGCAGCCCCCGAAAUGCAGUGGCGGGCUCGUUGUCACACCGAGUGCAGUAAUCAUUCUUCUCUCCGGGCGUGGCGGCGGGUUCCGGCCGUAAAAUCACCAAUUUAUCAAGGUUGACCUCGGAUCAGGUAGGAAUACCCGCUGAACUUAAGCAUAUCAAUAAGCGGAGGA